rnacentral:rRNA from 1 species
UACAGAGACCUCAAGCGUUAUCCGGAAUCAUUGGGCGUAAAGCGUACCGAUAGGUGGUUUACAAAGUCAGAAGUGAAAUCUUCAGGCUCAACCUGGAGAAUGUCUUUUGAAACUUGUAAACUAGAGGGGCAAAGAGGAAGCUGGAACGAACGGUGUAGUAGUGAAAUGCGUUGAUAUCGUUCGGAACACCAAUAGCGUAGGCAGGCUUCUGGGUGCCACCUGACACUGCUAGGACGAGAGCGUGGGGAGCGAUAAGG